rnacentral:tRNA from 1 species
GGAGAGGUGGCCGAGUGGCUGAAGGCGGCGGUCUCGAAAACCGCUGUGGCGCUUGUCGUCACCGUGGGUUCGAAUCCCACCCUCUCCGCCA